rnacentral:misc_RNA from 1 species
AAACAUUGUUGUGUGUCUUGAAAUGCAUUUCAGUACAUGUAGCUGCGUUUAUAUAACGCACUUUGAUUUUUUUUUUUCAAAGUGCGUUAUAAAAGUACAUUAACAUUUUUCUUAUCAAGACACUUAACACACUUUGAAAAAAUAUGUAUAAAUCUUAAAGUCUGGACUUGAAAUUUCUAAUUUGUUGAUUUUAUCAUGAUUUGAUAACACUGGUGAAUUUACCGUCUUUGAGAAAUGUGGUUAGGAUUAAUCAAAGAUACAUGUCAAUUACCAGUACAUAAUUUUAUUGAUUACAAAAGGAAUGUCCCCUACCCUUCAUAUUUCCUUCCAUAACAUAUGAUGUUCAGCAACUUGGAGUAAACGUAUAAGAACGGAA